UGAGUACGAGCGGCUACGGCCGCGAAGUGGAUGAUGUCAAGCUUCCAAGAAAAGCCCUAUACCCGUUAAGGCAUGAUGGCCUGUACCCGAAACCGACACAGGUGGGGUGGUAGAGAAUACCGAGGGGCGCGAGGUAACUCUCUCUAAGGAACUCGGCAAAAUGGCCCCGUAACUUCGGGAGAAGGGGUGCCACCGCGAGGUGGUCGCAGUGAAGAGGCCCAGGCGACUGUUUACCAAAAACACAGGUCUCCGCUAAGUCGCAAGACGAUGUAUGGGGGCUGACGCCUGCCCAGUGCCGGAAGGUUAAGGAAGCUGGUCAGCGCAAGCGAAGCUGGCGACUGAAGCCCCGGUGAACGGCGGCCGUAACGAUAACGGUCCUAAGGUAGCGAAAUUCCUUGUCGGGUAAGUUCCGACCCGCACGAAAGGCGUAACGAUCUGGGCGCUGUCUCGGAGAGAGGCUCGGCGAAAUAGAAUUGUCUGUGAAGAUGCGGACUACGUGCACCCGGACAGAAAGACCCUAUGAAGCUUUACUGUAGCUUGGUAUUGUGCUCGGGCUCGGAAUGCGCAGGAUAGGUGGGAGGCUUUGAUCCAUUGCUUGCGGGUGAUGGUGAGCCACUGGUGAGAUACCACUCUUUCCGAGCUAGAGUUCUAACAGCAACCCGUUAUCCGGGUGCUGGACAGUAUCAGGUGGGCAGUUUGACUGGGGCGGUCGCCUCCUAAAAGGUAACGGAGGCGCGCAAAGGUCUGCUCAGGCUGGUUGGAAAUCAGCCGACGAGUGUAAAAGCAGAAGCAGGCUUGACUGUGAGACCUACAAGUCGAACAGGGAGGAAACUCGGCUUUAGUGAUCCGACGGUUAUGCGUGGAAGGGCCGUCGCUUAACGGAUAAAAGUUACUCUAGGAUAACAGGCUGAUCUCCCCCAAGAGUUCACAUCGACGGGGAGGUUUGGCACCUCGAUGUCGGCUCAACGCAACCUGGGGCUGAAGUCGGUCCCAAGGGUUGGGCUGUUCGCCCAUUAAAGCGGUACGCGAGCUGGGUUCAGAACGUCGUGAGACAGUUCGGUCCAUAUCCGGUGCACGCGCAGGAAUAUUGAGAGGAUUUCUCCCUAGUACGAGAGGACCGGGAGGAACGCACCUCUGGUGUGCCAGUUAUCGUGCCAACGGUAAACGCUGGGUAGCCAUGUGCGGAGUGGAUAACCGCUGAAAGCAUCUAAGUGGGAAGCCCACCUCAAGAUGAGUAUUCCCAUGGCAUAAGCCAGUAAGGUCACGGGAAGAACACCCGUUGAUAGGCUCUACGUGGAAGCGCAGUAAUGUGUGAAGCGGAGGAGUACUAAUAGACCGAGGGCUUGACC
rnacentral:rRNA from 1 species